AAUCAACGCUGGCGGCGUGCCUAACACAUGCAAGUCGAACGCGAAAGGGGCUUCGGUCCUGAGUAGAGUGGCGAACGGGUGAGUAACACGUGGGUGAUCUACCUUCGAGUGGGGGAUAACGUCCCGAAAGGGACGCUAAUACCGCAUGACGUUCCGGGUUUAAAGACCUGGAAACCAAAGCCGGGGACCGCAAGGCCUGGCGCUUGAAGAGGAGCCCGCGUCCGAUUAGCUAGUUGGCGGGGUAAUGGCCCACCAAGGCGACGAUCGGUAGCCGGCCUGAGAGGGCGGACGGCCACACUGGAACUGAGACACGGUCCAGACUCCUACGGGAGGCAGCAGUGGGGAAUUGUUCACAAUGGGCGCAAGCCUGAUGACGCAACGCCGCGUGGGGAUGAAGGUCUUCGGAUCGUAAACCCUUGUCGAACGGAAAGAAUGACUCGCGCCUUAAUACGGCGCGGGACUGACGGUACCGUUAAAGGAAGCCACGGCUAACUCUGUGCCAGCAGCCGCAGUAAG
rnacentral:rRNA from 1 species